UCUUCUCCGGGUGCAAGUGGAGAGAACUGGGAAGGUGACAGGCAGCGACUGUUUGCAAGUAUUCGGAGCUGCGCUAAACCAGCGAGAGAUUGUGAGAGCAUGAGAGAUUGUGGAGGAGGAAUAACGCACAGGACUCGACUCCUUGCCGUGACGGUGCGGAACAGGUGGUCUUAUCGUUCAGGAUUCGUCCCCCGGUUUCUGGCGUGGGUAAUUGGACGGAUGGUGAUCCAUUUCCCAAUUAAAAAAAAUGGAAGACAGGCCCCCUCCAUUCUUCUCUUCCUGCAACAAAAAUGAUUGCUCCACCACCCUUCCUUCUCAAGUCCCGCCCUUUUACAUGCCCGCCCCGGAGAGUAAUCGGAAGACCAAAUACUGCCGCAAAGAGCGACGCCACGUUCCAAGGAGCGGAAGUAGAUUUCCCGGAAAGCCGUAAAGCGCGCCCCUCUUCCGGUUAACAACAGCCGUACCGACCGUCCUCGCCGGCCGUCCUCCGGCUUAGGGCUUUUGCCCCUAUUAAUUCUCCGCCCAAAUCAGCAUCAUUAAGUCUGGUCAGUGGUGGAUACCUGUGGAGGGUCUCUGAACGUCUCAUGAUAAUCUGGAGCACCCAGGCCUCUGACGAACACUGAUGGAGACAAUCAAGGGCUGGUCCAGAACAUUCUCUCGGCAGUGCCUGGGCUCCAAGAAAGAGUGUGAAACACACACGCACUUUUCCAAGCCUCUUCCUGCAGCACAUGUGCUGCUGUCCACAGACAAAAGCAAGUCUAUGGCCAAGCCCAGAGUCUGUGGGAAGAAAUUAACCAUAGGAACGGAUACAAUGAGUGAAACUCUGUGAAAUCUGUCUUGUAGAAUUAGUUGUGGUUCGUGAAGUUUGUCCCCUAUAUAACCAAGGCUCUGGAACCUGAGUGAAAUCUCAUCAUCCCAUGUCACAUUUCAGGCCACGUACAGUGCCUAGAUCAGUUUAUAGGAGCACCGCCGCACUGGAGAGACCCUGCCUUGGGGGCUGGGAGGUUGGAUGCGAGGGCCUCUCUGCCUGAUUCUGAGCAAUAUGCACAUACCUACAGAAACAUCUCUCAAAGGAAGAAUGAGCUCAAUCAAGUUCCUGAUCACCAACUCCGAACCCCUCCUGCCCUGCCAUUUGUGCAAAGAUAGAUUUGUAUUAUCUGCAUGGAUCCGCUAGUAGGUCUGGAAGAUCCAUGCACAGAAUUUCCAAUUUCCCAUAUGACUGCUACCCUUCAGCGCUAACCCUUUGGCUAUGUGGACUGACAGAGGCUCAUAACACAUCAUUCAGUCGGCCUUUGGUCUCUGCCGAACCAGCCCUUUGUCACCGAAUCCACUGGAGUGCAGAGGAAGACACGGUCAUUAUCCCAAACUCUGAAGAAGUAAGCCAAGAGCAUUUCAAAUAACUGAACAAUUUUCCAGAACAAUCCUCGAUCCUUUCAAGCCCAGACCCCCAAUGAAGAGACAAAUAACAUUCCAAGACAUGUGUCAGUAUCUUAUCUGUGUGCACACAGAGACAUAGAAACUUCUAGCUCUGAAAGGAUCUUCCAGAUGUCAAAUGAACAUGCUGACAGCCCAAUGGCAUCAUCCGAUUUUGUUGUCACAAACCUAUACAGUUUUCAUACCCAAUAAUAUAAACGUGUGUGUACAAACACAUGAGCACAUAUGUAAGUACAUUUACAUAUGCAUACAUGUAUAGUUUAUAUAUGCACAUGGCAAAAUGUAUAAAUAUGAUAUCUAUCCAAAGCUGCUUGUUCUCUUUGGAGGACCCAGCAACAGACAGCAAAGUUGUGAUGUCUUCCUGACUCUGUAUUUCCCAUCAUUCCACAGGGCAUCUGCCCAUCUGACAGUGAAUCAGCAUUCUUGCCUCAGUGGCCAGGUAGGGCAGGGUCACCUGCAAAAUUAGAGAACUAAAGGAAAGAAGUCACAGUCAGAAUGACAGCAACUGAAGUCCUUCUUAAGAGCAUGUGAGGUCUCUCACCUCUCCAUUUGUUUCCUGUUUAAUAUGUGGUUUGGACAUUUUGAGGAAGAAAUCUAAUUUCAAAGUUGUCUAAAUAUGUUUAAUGACAAAUAUCAUGCUGUUUGAAAGCACAUUACUCUGAGUGACAUAUGUCUUCUGCA